UACGAAGGGGGCUAGCGUUGUUCGGAAUUACUGGGCGUAAAGCGUGUGUAGGCGGUCCACUAAGUCGGGUGUGAAAGCCCUGGGCUCAACCCAGGAAGUGCACUCGAAACUGGAGGGCUAGAGUAUCGGAGAGGUUGGUGGAAUUCUCGGUGUAGAGGUGAAAUUCGUAGAUAUCGAGAGGAACACCGGUGGCGAAGGCGGCCAACUGGACGAAUACUGACGCUGAGACACGAAAGCGUGGGGAGCAAACAGG
rnacentral:rRNA from 1 species